GGCAUGCGGGGGGUCUGCCGUUUGCGAGCAGCAGGCCCUGCUGCCGGAUGUUCACCAUCCCGCAGCAG
rnacentral:miRNA from 1 species